rnacentral:tRNA from 1 species
GCAGUGGUAGUUUAGUGGUAGAGUUCUCAUCUUCCACAUGGGCGACCCAGGUUCAAUUCUUAGCCAAUGCA